UCAGCAGCCGCGGUAAUACGUAGGUGGCAAGCGUUGUCCGGAAUUAUUGGGCGUAAAGCGCGCGCAGGCGGGAUAUUAAGUCUGUUUUAAAAGUUCGGGGCUCAACCCCGUGAUGGAAUGGAAACUAAUAUUCUUGAGUGCAGGAGAGGAAAGUGGAAUUCCCAGUGUAGCGGUGAAAUGCGUAGAUAUUGGGAGGAACACCAGUGGCGAAGGCGACUUUCUGGACUGUGUCUGACGCUGAGGCGCGAAAGCCAGGGGAGUGAACGGGAUUAGAUACCCCGGUAAUCCUGGCCGUAAACGAUGGGUACUAGGUGUAGGAGGUAUCGACCCCUUCUGUGCCGGAGUUAACGCAAUAAGUACCCCGCCUGGGGAGUACGGCCGCAAGGUUGAAACUCAAAGGAAUUGACGGGGGCCCGCACAAGCGGUGGAGUAUGUGGUUUAAUUCGACGCAACGCGAAGAACCUUACCAGGACUUGACAUCGAUUGAAAUACCUAGAGAUAGGUACCUUCCCUUCGGGGAACAAGAAGACAGGUGGUGCAUGGCUGUCGUCAGCUCGUGUCGUGAGAUGUUGGGUUAAGUCCCGCAACGAGCGCAACCCUUAUCCUAUGUUGCCAGCGAGUAAAGUCGGGAACUCAUGGGAGACUGCCGCAGACAAUGCGGAGGAAGGCGGGGAUGACGUCAAGUCAUCAUGCCCCUUAUGUCCUGGGCUACACACGUACUACAAUGGGCUUAAAUAGAGGGAAGCGAAGCCGCGAGGUGAAGCGAACCCCAAAAACAAGNNNNNAGUUCGGAUUGCAGGCUGCAACUCGCCUGCAUGAAG
rnacentral:rRNA from 1 species